ensembl:lncRNA
CAAAAACAGAUCAAUGUAGACAAUGGUAUGUGUGAGGAGCAGCAUGUUCCCCCUGCUUUUUAUCCAUUUUUUUAAAUCUCUGAAUUUCUUCCCCGCUUCAAAGACCAUACUGUGCACAGUUGGGGGGCUUCAAAGCUUCAAGUCCACAGAAUUAGGGGAGAGAAAAGCAGCUUCUGCAUUGCUGACGGCUCAGAAAUAUCACAAGGCAAGCAAGUAGAAAACCUAAAUUUCCUCUCCCUCUUAAGAAGAAUGAUGUGUUUCACCUGCAUCAUUUAAACUGAAGAUAUGGACGUGGUUUUCUCCUCUGGAUGAGAUUAAAGGUGGACAUUUUUGACCGAGCCAGACCAGCUAUGGCCUUUGUAUGGCGCUUGUUGUGUCCUGUUCGACAUUAAGUCAACUCUAGGACGUGGCUGGCUCCUGCCCAGCAUUACUGUGACAGCCAGGAUGUCGGUUCAGGACCUUUGGUGAAGUCGAGGUCAUGGUAAACAAUCAUGCCAGCACACAAGUGGGUUUUAGUGCGCCCCUUUCAUUCACGUGCAGAGAAAGGUGCCCCUCCCCUCAGCACACAGCUUCAAUUCCUCUGGCUUCCCGAGGGAAAAUACUGCCUUUCUCUAAAUAAACCCACUAUAUCUCUCUCUCUUUCACCCUCUCUCUCUCUCACACACACAUGCACACACUCCAGUAGGAGAGCAAAGCUUCGCGGGACGUGACCUCGGCUCUCCUUUAGGUAAACCGGCACUCCUGGCUAUGCGCAAGACCUGUGACUUCUUUUCUCAGCUUGAUCCUACUGGGAGAAGGCAGGAGAUGCAUAUGUAAUCCUGAUGUGUGUGUAUGUGUGAAACAGAAAGACUGAGGGAGUUCUUUUGUUGUUGUUGUUGUUGUUGUUGUUUUUUUCUUUUUCUCUUGGACCUUAUUUAUUACAUGAUGAUUUUACUAUGUAAAGGAGCACAGUGGCAAUAGCUGAAGUUGUCUUUUUUUAAUUUAUUUUUUAAAAAUAUGUAUUAAGAAAAUAAAGUCAAUCCCUCUGAUGGAAGCUGGAGCAAGGGUUACAUAUGAUUCAAGCUGGCUUAUAAACAAUAAUAACUCAUUUAUGAUAUGUAUAUAUCAACAGCCUCUUUCACUACGCUUACAUCAUGUGGAGACAGAAUAAAGGAAGACAGAGUUAUGCUACAUGUUAUUUUGUGAAUAAGAGAUUAUUAUAAUUAUAAUACACAUUAAAUGUAUGUUUAAUUAUGUUGAAUUAAUAUAAAAUAAUAUAUUAAUUUUAUUUAACUAUAAUUAGUUGUGACUGUGAUAAUAAAGGAAAAACAAACAGUGCUUCUGUGCAUGCAAAAAUGUUUAUUGUUACCACCAUAUUCUUAAUUCUAAAUCUUUAUAAUAAUAAUAAUAAAAAUGGAAACAAUGCACUGAAACAAUUGCUCAUGUAUUAUUUUAAAUUUAGAGAAAGAGAGAAAAACAUUUUUUACUAAAUAUAUUCUACUCUCAAUUAUGGUUGUUUUGUAUUUUUAAGCAGUUUUAUUUUCACAAUUUAAUCAAUAAAUGGUACCAUAUUUAAUUGCAAGCUUUAAACAGAUUUCAUUAUGUAAAAAGGCAAAGCAAAGAAGGCAACAUUAAUUUUUUUUUCAAAUUCAAAAUGCAUUAAAAAUACAAUUUAUGGAAUGAAAUGAAAAUUUUAUGUUGAUGGGGUCAGUGUUUAUUUAAUAUUAAAAGCUAAAUACUAUAGAAUGACAUGUGAAUAAGAGGUGAAUUCUAGCGUUUAUUCUGUCAUGUUAUUUUGAAUCCAGUUGACAUGCAAAUAUUGGACUAAUAUGAGAUGUUUUGUUUACCUGUUCUACUUUUAAUGUCAUUUGACUAAAGGAAAACCACUGGGCCAGUCAAUGUGAACUUUAGUACUUUGAUAUAAAGUAGGCCUAUAAGAAAUUUUAGGGGUCAUCCCUUCAACCCACAUAUCUUGAUUGCUGUUCAUAUGUAUUACAUAGUUGUCUGUUGUUAGAUUUUUAAUUGUGAUGUUUACCAUCUUCAAUAACAGUUUGAUAAGCUGAAUACAAGGGUCCAAACAAGGGUAGAUCAAUGACCAAUGUUGUCGUAAGGUAUAAAAAAUACCAAAAUGCCUUCAUAAUGUUGAACUGUUACAAAUAAAGAUGAUUUAUUAAACCAUAUAUGGUUAAAGUGUGUUUUGACACUGUUGUGUUUCCUCAGCCCCUCCUCUCUCUAUUUUUCCAUGGAAACUCAGGGAAGAGUUGAGGUAAGAACUAGUCUGAACAUGACAGCU